CCUGCCCCUGGAGGUGGUGGCAGAGAGGAGAGAGGCUGGUUUACACUCAGUGUUCUGUGAACAUCUGAAUGACUAAUAGCCUAACACU
rnacentral:snoRNA from 1 species